AUUGAACGCUGGCGGCAGGCCUAACACAUGCAAGUCGAGCGAGCGGCGGACGGGUGAGUAAUGUCUGGGAAACUGCCUGAUGGAGGGGGAUAACUACUGGAAACGGUAGCUAAUACCGCAUACCAUCAGAUGUGCCCAGAUGGGAUUAGCUGGUUGGUGGGGUAACGGCUCACCUAGGCGACGAUCCCUAGCUGGUCUGCGAGGAUGACCAGCCACACUGGAACGUGGCCACGGUCCAGACUCCUACGGGAGGAAGAAGGGGGGAAUAUUUCACAAUGGGCGCAAGCCUGAUACAGCCAUGCCGCGUGUGUGAAGAAGGCCUUCGGGUUGUAAAGCACUUUCAGCGGGGAGGCGUUACCCGCAGAAGAAGCACCGGCUAACUCCGUGCCAGCCGCCGCGGUAAUUC
rnacentral:rRNA from 1 species